rnacentral:rRNA from 1 species
GAUGAACGCUGGCGGCGUGCCUAAUACAUGCAAGUCGAGCGAAGCGGGGACGGGUGAGUACCACGUGGAUAACCUCCUAUAAGACUGGGAUAACUUCGGGAAACCGGAGCUAAACCGGAUGCUUAUAAAUGGAUCCGCGCUGCAUUAGCUAGUUGGUAAGGUAACGGCUUACCAAGGCAACGAUGCAUAGCCGACCUGAAAGAGUGAUCGGCAACACUGGAACUGAUCCGCAGUCCAUACUCCUACGGGAGGCAGCAGUAGGGAAUCUUCCGCAAUGGGCAAAAGCCUGACGGAGCAACGCCGCGGGAGUGAUGAAGGUCGUCGGAUCGUAAAACUCUGUUAUUAGGGAAGCGGUACCUAAUCAGAAAGCCACGGCUAACUACGUGCCAGCAGCCGCGGUAGUUC